GUGCGUAGGCGGUUUCUUAAGCGUGAGGUGAAAGGCAGUGGCUCAACCAUUGUAAGCCUUGCGAACUGAGAGACUUGAGUGUGGGAGAGGAAAGCGGAAUUCCUAGUGUAGCGGUGAAAUGCGUAGAUAUUAGGAGGAACACCAGUGGCGAAGGCGGCUUUCUGGACCAUAACUGACGCUGAGGCACGAAAGCGUGGGGAGCAAACA
rnacentral:rRNA from 1 species